rnacentral:rRNA from 1 species
CAGUCGCCGCGGGAAUACGUAGGUCCCGAGCGUUGUCCGGAUUUAUUGGGCGUAAAGCGAGCGCAGGCGGUUAGAUAAGUCUGAAGUUAAAGGCUGUGGCUUAACCAUAGUACGCUUUGGAAACUGUUUAACUUGAGUGCAAGAGGGGAGAGUGGAAUUCCAUGUGUAGCGGUGAAAUGCGUAGAUAUAUGGAGGAACACCGGAGGCGAAAGCGGCUCUCUGGCUUGUAACUGACGCUGAGGCUCGAAAGCGUGGGGAGCAAACAGGAUUAGAUACCCCGGUAGUCCCUGUCUCUUAUACA